CAAAGGCAACAGUGGCAAGGAAAAACUCCCAAGAAGGAAGAAACCUUGGGAGGGACCAGACUAACAGGGGGAGCCCAUCCUCCAGGGGGCAGCAGGGAGAGUCAAAUAGGAGAGAUGGUUAAGUGCCAAGUCACGUUGUCCCAAUCAUAAGUUCCUGCUGUGCGGUGUGACAGUGACAGACAGAAGUGGCCAGGAUCUACAAAAGUCCCUGGUCCAGACAGCCCAAGAACCUGUAAACAAGGACCAGGUUCCAGAACUUCGGUGUGAAAGCGCCUGAUAAGAGUCGGACUGCAAUACAUUGGAACUGGCUCUUUACAACCAUAAUCGUCUAAGUGAUGGCUGACCAUUCCAAUGAGGAGGUUUGGAUGUAACAUCUUGGCAUAAGAUGCAUGUCGUUAGGGCUGUAAAUAUCAGACACUGAGAGACAGGAAAGCCUUAAGUUCAUAACAUGAAUAACUAUUUUCGGAAAGCUCACUCUCCGCAGUGUUCUUCCCCAACCUACUUCCUUACCAUACCGCACUGCACAAAAUGUUACAGAUGUAAUGUAAAUAUAUAUAUAUAUAUA